rnacentral:rRNA from 1 species
AUUGAACGCUGGCGGCAGGCCUAACACAUGCAAGUCGAGCGGAUGAAGGGAGCUUGCUCCUGGAUUCAGCGGCGGACGGGUGAGUAAUGCCUAGGAAUCUGCCUGGUAGUGGGGGAUAACGUCCGGAAACGGGCGCUAAUACCGCAUACGUCCUGAGGGAGAAAGUGGGGGAUCUUCGGACCUCACGCUAUCUUAUGAGCCUACGUCGGAUUAGCUAGUUGGUGGGGUAAAGGCCUACCAAGGCGACGAUCCGUAACUGGUCUGAGAGGAUGAUCAGUCACACUGGAACUGAGACACGGUCCAGACUCCUACGGGAGGCAGCAGUGGGGAAUAUUGGACAAUGGGCGAAAGCCUGAUCCAGCCAUGCCGCGUGUGUGAAGAAGGUCUUCGGAUUGUAAAGCACUUUAAGUUGGGAGGAAGGGCAGUAAGUUAAUACCUUGCUGUUUUGACGUUACCAACAGAAUAAGCACCGGCUAACUUCGUG